rnacentral:misc_RNA from 1 species
CGAGCGUCAUUACAACCCUCAAGCACUGCUUGGUAUUGGAUGUGACCAGUCAUCUGGUGCAUCUCAAAACAAUCAGCGGUAGCACUCAGCUUCUAGCGUAGUAUAUUUCUCGCUAUGGAGCUGCAGCUGGUGUACCAGCUAGAGCCCUAAAUCAUAUCAAGGUUGACCUCGGAUCAGGUAGGGAUACCCGCUGAACUUAA